AAUCAACGCUGGCGGCGUGCCUCAGACAUGCAAGUCGAACGCGAAAGUCCCCUUCGGGGGACAAGUAGAGUGGCGCACGGGUGAGUAACACGUAGGUAAUCUACCUUCGGAUGGGGAAUAACAACCGGAAACGGUUGCUAAUACCGCAUAAUGCAGCGGCACCUAAUGGUGACAGUUGUUAAAGCGGGGGAUUGAAAGACCUCGCGUCUGAAGAGGAGCCUGCGGCGGAUUAGCUUGUUGGAGGGUAACGGCCUACCAAGGCGACGAUCCGUAGCCGGCCUGAGAGGGCGGUCGGCCACACUGACACUGACAUACGGGUCAGACUCCUACAGGAGGCAGCAGUCGGGAAUUUUGGGCAAUGGGCGAAAGCCUGACCCAGC
rnacentral:rRNA from 1 species